rnacentral:rRNA from 1 species
UACGUAGGGUGCAAGCGUUGUUCGGAAUUAUUGGGCGUAAAGAGCUCGUAGGUGGCCUGUCGCGUCGGCUGUGAAAACUCGGGGCUCAACUCCGAGCUUGCAGUCGAUACGGGCAGGCUAGAGUUCGGCAGGGGAGACUGGAAUUCCUGGUGUAGCGGUGAAAUGCGCAGAUAUCAGGAGGAACACCAAUGGCGAAGGCAGCUCGCUGGGACGGUACUGACGCUGAGACGCGAAAGCGUGGGGAGCAAACAGG